CCUACGGGAGGCAGCAGUCGAGAAUUUUUGACAAUGGGGGAAACCCUGAUCGAGCGACGCCGCGUGGAGGAUGAAGGUCUUCGGAUUGUAAACUCCUGUCAUUUGGGAACAAGGUGCACACGUUAACUGCGUGUGCAUUGAUAGUACCAGAAGAGGAAGAGACGGCUAACUCUGUGCCAGCAGCCGCGGUAAUACAGAGGUCUCAAGCGUUGUUCGGAUUCAUUGGGCGUAAAGGGUGCGUAGGCGGCGCGGUAAGUCGGGUGUGAAAUCUCGGAGCUUAACUCCGAAACUGCAUUCGAUACUGCCGUGCUUGAGGACUGGAGAGGAGACUGGAAUUUACGGUGUAGCGGUGAAAUGCGUAGAUAUCGUAAGGAAGACCAGUGGCGAAGGCGGGUCUCUGGACAGUUCCUGACGCUGAGGCACGAAGGCCAGGGGAGCAAACGGGAUUAGAUACCCCGGUAGUCCUGGCAGUAAACGGUGCACGUUUGGUGUGGGAGGAUUCGACCCCUUCUGCGCCGGAGCUAACGCGUUAAACGUGCCGCCUGGGGAGUACGGUCGCAAGAUUAAAACUCAAAGAAAUUGACGGGGGCCCGCACAAGCGGUGGAGUAUGUGGCUCAAUUCGAUGCAACGCGAAGAACCUUACCAGGCCUUGACAUGCAUCUCUAAGUUGGUGAAAGCCAGCGAGUCCCGAAAGGGACAAUUUGCACAGGUGCUGCAUGGCUGUCGUCAGCUCGUGUCGUGAGAUGUUGGGUUAAGUCCCGCAACGAGCGCAACCCCUGUGAACUGUUGCCACCGAGCCGUGAGGCUCGAGCACUCUGUUCAGACUGCCCCGCUCUAACGGGGAGGAAGGUGGGGACGACGUCAAGUCAGUAUGGCCCUUACGGCCUGGGCUGCACACGUACUACAAUGCCCAGUACAGAACGAUCCGAGACCGCAAGGUGGAGGAAAUCACUAAAACUGGGCCCAGUUCAGAUUGAAGUCUGCAACUCGACUUCAUGAAGCCGGAAUCGCUAGUAAUGGCGUAUCAGCUACGACGCCGUGAAUUCUUCCCGGGCCUUGUACACACCGC
rnacentral:rRNA from 1 species